CCUGUUCCCAUCCCGAACACAGAAGUUAAGCCCAGAAGCGCCGAUGGUAGUCGCAAGGCGAGAGUAGGUCGCCGCCAAGA
rnacentral:rRNA from 1 species